rnacentral:rRNA from 1 species
CCUACGGGUGGCAGCAGUGGGGGAUAUUGCACAAUGGGGGAAACCCUGAUGCAGCGACGCCGCGUGAGUGAAGAAGUAUUUCGGUAUGUAAAGCUCUAUCAGCAGGGAAGAAAAUGACAGUACCUGACCAAGAAGCCCCGGAAAACUACGUUCCAGCAGCCGCGGUAACACGUAGGGGGCAAGCGUUAUCCGGAUUUACUGGUUCAAGGGAGCGUAGACGGUUAUGUAAGUCUGGCGUGAAAGCGCGGGGGCCAAACCCGGGACUGCUUUUGAAACUGGGUAACUGGAGUACAGGAGGGGCAGGCGGAAUUCCUGGUGUAGCGGUGAAAGACGUAGAUAUCAGGAGGAACACCGGCGGCGAAGGCGACCUGCUGGACUGAAACUGACGUUGAGGCUCGAAAGCGUGGGGAGCAAACAGGAUUAGAUACCCUAGUAGUC